rnacentral:snRNA from 1 species
AAGUGAAUCUGGCUUGACAUCUGUCAGCANGGUUGGUCUGGCUGAUCUGGGUGUCUAGGUGGGUGUUCCCUUUCCUCUUCAUUGUUCCAUGAAACUGGAUAUUUGGUCAAAAAGGAUGACCUUCCCUAAUAGAGGGGGAACUUGUCUUUGGUCAAGGGUAUAGCUGUGAUCCUCUGCUAGAACCUCCAAAUAAGUUUUCAAAGCCAGAUAAAGAAUCUACAUCCUAUUAAAGAAUUUAGACUCACAUUUGAGAAUAGCAUUCAUGUUAUAUAUC